UGGACUUUAUUCGCGCAGUAUAGGUGGGAGGCGUUGAUUAUAAUCUUGCGGGAUUAUUGGAGCCAUCAGUGAGAUACCACCCUUGUAAUGUUAGAUUUCUAACUUUGAAUCAUUAUCUGGUCAAAGAACAGUUUCAGGCGGGCAGUUUGACUGGGGCGGUCGCCUCCUAAACGGUAACGGAGGCGUACAAAGGUUUCCUCUGAACGGUUAGAAAUCGUAUCUAGAGUGUAAAGGCAUAAGGAAGCUUGACUGUGAGACCUACAAGUCGAGCAGGGACGAAAGUCGGUCUUAGUGAUCUGACGGUACUGAGUGGAAAGGCCGUCACUCAACGGAUAAAAGUUACUCUAGGGAUAAC
rnacentral:rRNA from 1 species